GGACAACCUACCCUAGAGACAUGGACAACCCCGGGAAACUGGGAUUAAUCCGUGAUAGGUCAUCUCAUCUGGAAGGAGAGAUGGCUUAAAGGGGUGCGAGAGCUUCUUUCUUGUACUCGCUCUAGGAUGGGACUGCGGCCGAUCAGGCUGUUGGUGGGGUAAUGGCCCACCAAACCUGUAACCGGUACGGGCCUUGAGAGAGGGGGCCCGGAGAUGGACACUGAGAGAAGGGUCCAGGUCCUACGGGGCGCAGCAGGCGCGAAACCUUCACAAUGCGCGAAAGCGUGAUGAGGUUAAUCCGAGUUGGUUCCCGCUUAGGGAAUCUUUUGUCGACUCUAAAACGGUCGGUAAAUAAGGGGAGGGCAAGUCUGGUGUCAGCCGCCGCGGUAAUACCAGCUCCUCGAGUGGUCGGGGCGAUUAUUGGGCCUUAAAGCAUCCGUAGCCUUGUUCUGUAGGUCCCCUGUUAAAUCCAACGGCUUAACCGUUGGUCUGCAACGGAUACCGCAGGACUAGGAGGGGGGAGAGGUUGGACGGUACUCCACGUGUAGGGGUAAAAUCCUUUGAUCCGUGGAAGACCACCAGUGGCGAAGGCGGUCCACCAGAACGCGCUCGACGGUGAGGGAUGAAAGCUGGGGGAGCGAACCGGGUUAGAUACCCGGGUAGUCCCAGCCGUAAACGAUGCGAGCUAGAUGAUCCAGUCGCAAAUCGCGACUGGAGUGUCGCAGGGAAGCCGUU
rnacentral:rRNA from 1 species